rnacentral:rRNA from 1 species
UACGAAGGGGGCUAGCGUUGCUCGGAAUCACUGGGCGUAAAGGGUGCGUAGGCGGGUCUUUAAGUCAGAGGUGAAAUCCUGGAGCUCAACUCCAGAACUGCCUUUGAUACUGAGGAUCUUGAGUUCGGGAGAGGUGAGUGGAACUGCGAGUGUAGAGGUGAAAUUCGUAGAUAUUCGCAAGAACACCAGUGGCGAAGGCGGCUCACUGGCCCGGUACUGACGCUGAGGCGCGAAAAGCGUGGGGAGCAAACAGGG